rnacentral:rRNA from 1 species
UACAGAGGGUGCAAGCGUUAAUCGGAUUUACUGGGCGUAAAGCGUGCGUAGGCGGCUCGCUAAGUCGGGUGUGAAAUCCCUGGGCUUAACCUGGGAACUGCAGUCGAUACUGGCGGACUAGAGUACGGUAGAGGGUGGCGGAACUCCGGGUGUAGCGGUGAAAUGCGUAGAGAUCCGGAGGAACACCAGAGGCGAAGGCGGCCUACUGGGCUGCACCUGACGCUGAGGUGCGAAAGCGUGGGGAGCAAACAGG